rnacentral:rRNA from 1 species
GAAUCAGGUAGGAAUACCCGCUGAACUUAAGCAUAUCAAUAA